rnacentral:rRNA from 1 species
GAUGAACGCUGGCGGCACGCUUAACACAUGCAAGUCGAACGAAGUGGCGAACGGCUGAGUAACACGUGGGCAACCUGCCCUUCAGUUCGGAAUAGCUACGGGAAACCGUGGGUAAUACCGGAUGCGGAAGGAUGGGCCCGCGGCCUGGUAGCUUGUUGGUGAGGUAACGGCUCACCAAGGCAGUAAUGGGUAGCCGGGUUGAGAGACCGACCGGCCGGAUUGGGACUGAGACACGGGCCAGACUGCUACGGGGGGCAUCAGUGGGGAAUGUUGCGCAAUGGGCGGAAGCCUGACGCAGCGAUGCCGCGUGCGGGAUGAAGGCCUUCGGGUCGUAAACCGCUUUCAGCAGGGACGCGGUACCUGCAGAAGAAGCCCCGGCUAACUACGUGCCAGCAGCCGCGGUAAUUC